rnacentral:ncRNA from 1 species
UUAAAGUUUUAUUCUUGCUUGAUGAUUUAUUUAAAUCUUGUUUUACAUGUAAGUUUUUGCGUGAUGUAGUUAAUUAUUCUUGAGGGGUUGUUGAUGUUGUUUGAUUCGCAGUAUUUAAUUUUAUUAAUCAAGGAGUCUUGGAAUUAGUAAUUGUUUAUAGUACCGGCAAAAGUCGUGCCAGCUGCCGCGGUUACACGGAGGGUACAAGUAAAUAUUUUUAGUUUGUAGUUGUAAGAAGUUCUGGUUUUGAGGAAUGAAAAUUGAUUUUGUUAAGUGGAAUUUUAAAAUUGAAUUAUUUCUUUAUGGGUUUAUUAGAAGCUGUGAAAAUUAAGAUUUAAACUAGGAUUAGAUACCCUAUUAUUUUAAUUGUAAAUAAGUAUGAGGCUUGAGUAGUAGUAGAUAUGUUCUUGAAACUCAAAGAAUUUGGCGGUGUUUUAGUCCUUUCAGAGGAACCUGUCCCAUAAUCGAUAGUCCACGUUUUACCUUACUUAAUUUUGUAGUUCAGCUUGUAUACCGCCGUCGUCAGAAUGUCCUUUGAGGGUUAAAAUUUUCUUAAUUUUGAAUUAGAAGUGAUGUCAGGUCAAGGUGCAGUUUAUAAUUAAGGGGAGAUGGGUUACAAUAAAUUUAUUUAUUACGUAUGAUGAAAUGAAAUAAUAUUUGUUUUAAGGUGGAUUUGAUUGUAAUUAGUUUAAUUAAAUUAAUUUGAUUUUGGCUCUAAAACAUGCACACAUCGCCCGUCGCUCUCGUUAUUUAAGGCGAGAUAAGUCGUAACAUAGUAGGUGUACCGGAAGGUGUACCUGGAAAGUU